AGCGAACGCUGGCGGCAGGCUUAACACAUGCAAGUCGAACGCCCCGCAAGGGGAGUGGCAGACGGGUGAGUAACACGUGGGAACGUACCCUUUGGUUCGGAAUAACUUGGGGAAACUCAAGCUAAUACCGGAUAAGCCCUUAUGGGGAAAGGUUUACUGCCGAAGGAUCGGCCCGCGUCUGAUUAGCUAGUUGGUGAGGUAAUGGCUCACCAAGGCGACGAUCAGUAGCUGGUCUGAGUGGAUGAUCAGCCACACUGGGACUGAGACACGGCCCAGACUCCUACGGGAGGCAGCAGUGGGGAAUAUUGGACAAUGGGGGCAACCCUGAUCCAGCCAUGCCGCGUGAGUGAUGAAGGCCUUAGGGUUGUAAAGCUCUUUUACCCGGGACGAUAAUGACUGUACCGGGAGAAUAAGCCCCGGCUAACUCCGUGCCAGCCGCCGCAGUAA
rnacentral:rRNA from 1 species